GAUGAACGCUAGCUACAGGCUUAACACAUGCAAGUCGAGGGGCAUCAGGAAGAAAGCUAGCUUUCUUUGCUGGCGACCGGCGCACGGGUGAGUAACACGUAUCCAACCUGCCCUUUACUCGGGGAUAGCCUUUCGAAAGAAAGAUUAAUACCCGAUAGCAUAAUGAUUCCGCAUGGUUUCAUUAUUAAAGGAUUCCGGUAAAGGAUGGGGAUGCGUUCCAUUAGGUUGUUGGUGGGGUAACGGCCCACCAAGCCUUCGAUGGAUAGGGGUUCUGAGAGGAAGGUCCCCCACAUUGGAACUGAGACACGGUCCAAACUCCUACGGGAGGCAGCAGUGAGGAAUAUUGGUCAAUGGGCGCUAGCCUGAACCAGCCAAGUAGCGUGAAGGAUGAAGGCUCUAUGGGUCGUAAACUUCUUUUAUAUAAGAAUAAAGUGCAGUAUGUAUACUGUUUUGUAUGUAUUAUAUGAAUAAGGAUCGGCUAACUCCGUGCCAGCAGCCGCGGUAAUACGGAGGAUCCGAGCGUUAUCCGGAUUUAUUGGGUUUAAAGGGAGCGUAGGUGGACUGGUAAGUCAGUUGUGAAAGUUUGCGGCUCAACCGUAAAAUUGCAGUUGAUACUGUCAGUCUUGAGUACAGUAGAGGUGGGCGGAAUUCGUGGUGUAGCGGUGAAAUGCUUAGAUAUCACGAAGAACUCCGAUUGCGAAGGCAGCUCACUGGACUGCAACUGACACUGAUGCUCGAAAGUGUGGGUAUCAAACAGGAUUAGAUACCCUGGUAGUCCACACAGUAAACGAUGAAUACUCGCUGUUUGCGAUAUACAGUAAGCGGCCAAGCGAAAGCAUUAAGUAUUCCACCUGGGGAGUACGCCGGCAACGGUGAAACUCAAAGGAAUUGACGGGGGCCCGCACAAGCGGAGGAACAUGUGGUUUAAUUCGAUGACACGCGAGGAACCUUACCCGGGCUUAAAUUGCAGUGGAAUGAUGUGGAAACAUGUCAGUGAGCAAUCACCGCUGUGAAGGUGCUGCAUGGUUGUCGUCAGCUCGUGCCGUGAGGUGUCGGCUUAAGUGCCAUAACGAGCGCAACCCUUAUCUUCAGUUACUAACAGGUCAUGCUGAGGACUCUGGAGAGACUGCCGUCGUAAGAUGUGAGGAAGGUGGGGAUGACGUCAAAUCAGCACGGCCCUUACGUCCGGGGCUACACACGUGUUACAAUGGGGGGUACAGAAGGCAGCUAGCGGGUGACCGUAUGCUAAUCCCAAAAGCCUCUCUCAGUUCGGAUCGAAGUCUGCAACCCGACUUCGUGAAGCUGGAUUCGCUAGUAAUCGCGCAUCAGCCACGGCGCGGUGAAAUACGUUCCCGGGCCCU
rnacentral:rRNA from 1 species